GUUUGAAAAAUAUUAUAAAAAUCUUAGGGUGAAACCCUAAUUUAUAUUUGUUUUCCUUUCUUUCUUUUCUCCAGCCGCCCCAUUCUUUUUCCUCUUCCUCCAUCUAAACGUUUCUUCUCACUUCUUAUCUCUCUCUCUCUCUCUCUCUCUCACACCUUCCUGACCAUUCUCCUUCCUUAUUCUUUUCCUCCUCCUCCUCCUCUCUUUCUCUUCGUGGCCAUAUUUCCUCUUCUUCGGGCAAUAAUAUAGAUAGACACCAUUUAUUAGAAAACUAAACAACAAUACUGAUGGAAUACCACUGCAAGUAUGCACCAAAGUUUCUACAAGUCUUCCUGUCAAAAUUGUGUUUGGCUAUGACCUUCGAAAUUCUUCCAAGAACUGUGAAAAGAUUUAAUUUCCGAAAGUUCUGACUUUGCCGAAAAUUCCGCAUUGGAAUGGUAUUAUUAUAUUCCGAAAUUUCGGAAUCGGCAUCGGAAAUGAAUAUGACUUUCGAAUAUUUUCGGAUUGGAAUUCGAAACUCCUAUUUCCGAUCCGUUCUGGCCGAAGAAUAGCCCUAUGUAUGUGAAUUAGUUAGACAGUUGUAUUGGUUAGUUAGUUAAACUUUACUUAACAUGUAUAAAAUGUAAUAGUAUUGUAGCUUAAAAGAUGAAGAAAUACAUAAACCAAUAUUGCGAAUUUCUCUAUAUUUCUCCUUCCUUCUUCUUUAGUACUCUUCUUUAUACUUCUCUGAAUAUGUUGGUUAACAUGGUAUCAAUGUCCUUAGUGGUUUUCACACAAUCAAUCCAUCCUUUCUGCGCUUUCUUUGUCUUUCAAUUCAGUCAUUUCCUCGUUCUCUUUGUUUUUCUUCCCUUUUUCUCUCUGUUUCUUUCUCUUAAUUUCAAUUCUAGGUUUUCUCUCUGCUUGACCAUGGCUUUUUCUUCCUCCAUCAAGAUUGAUGGCUUGCUCAAUAUGGUUACAAUUCGUAUCAGUGACAAUAAUUUCUUGAAAUGGAGUUUUCAAUUGUACUCUUUGUUGCAAGGGUCUGAGCUUUUUGAGCAUUUCGAUGGCUCUAUUGUUCCGCCACUAAAAUUUGCAAUUUUGGAUGAACUGGGUGUUAUCUCUCAAGUCAUAGCUACUUACAAGGUAUGGAUGAAGACUAUCAAGGCACUUCUCAACUUGCUCAUCGCCACUAUGUCAGAUAAAGCUUUGGAAUAUGUCAUUGGGACUAAGACAGCUUGAGAAGCUUGACUCAAUUUGGUGGAUCGUUAUGCCUCGGUUUCAAAUGCUUGCAUUAAUCACUUGAAGGCUGAAAAUCAAACUGCUCGGAAAGGGGGGGAAGGAUUCCUUCUUCAUUUAAAGCACGUUCGAGAUCAGCUUACUCAAGCAGGUGUGAAGGUCUCAAAUGAUGAUUUGAUGAUUGCUACACUCAAUGGUCUACCUCCUGAAUAUGAUAUGAUCAAGAUUGUCUUGAUUGCAAGGGAUUCCUCAAUUUCUUUGAAGGAUUUCAAAGCUCAAUUGCUAGUUGUUGAAGCUCGAAUCUUAACCCAUUAUGCUAUGUUUACCUCUCACCAUCCUUCAUUUGGGUAUAAUUCUAUUGCUUCUUCUUCCACUAGGUAUGCUCCGCUGUCUGUAUCUCAAAACAAUUCAUCUAUGCCUACUAUUACAGAUUUACUACCUACCCCUUCUGGUUCAGCAGUUGGAUUUUAUGCUUCUAAUGCUCAUAAUCGAUAUACUGGUCCGUGUGGUUCUCCUUCUAAUGGCUCUAAUGGUUUUGGUAGAGGAAAGUUUUGUAAUGGUGGUUUUGGUAAAUGAGUCUCUUCAUCUUCUCAGAUGUAUGGCUCACAGUUUUCUGGCUCAAAGUUUGGUUAUGAUUCUUUUCAUAAGAGCAAUAUUGUCCCUGAAUGUCAAAUUUGUUGCAAGAGUGACCAUACAACUACCAACUGCUAUUUUAGGCAUGAUGCUUCUCCUUCUCAAGGAUUUGCACAGGUGAUUGAAUGCUAGAUUUGUGGCAAGAGGGGUCGUGGAGCUCUUGAUUGCUUCCAUAGAUCCAAGUACUCUUAUCAGGGGCAUCCUCUAUCUCCCAAGCUCUCAUCUAUGAUUGCACAAAGCUCUUAUAUGCCUAAUCAUGUCUGGAUUGCUGAUAGUGACGCAUAUCACCAUAUCGUGGCUGAUGUCUCAUCUUUGCAUCAUGUUACUCCAUGUGAAUCUACAGAACAAGUUCUAGUGGGAAAUGGAGAAGGACAAGCAAACCACGAACAUCUUACUCAAAGGAUUGAGUCGUAAUGGUAUCUAUCCAAUCCCACGUACAUUGCCUCAAUCAGUUUCCUAGCCUUCACAGUCAGAGGCUAUAGCUUUUCUUGGAUAGCAAGUUAGUUCAUCUUUGUGGCAUCAAAGACUUGGUCAUCCCACCAAUGCCAUAGCCAAAAUGAUGCUCAAGAAUUCAAAGUUAGUGUAUACAAAUGAUGAUUCAAGUGUAAUUUGCUCUUCUUGUGCACAAGCUGCAUUUUACAAAGACUCGUGUUAAAUCUAGGAUUCAUUUUUCUAGAAUCCAUAGUGAUGUCUGGGGCCCUUUCCAUUUCAAGUCUCUAGAUGGUUAUAGGUACUUUGUAUCAUUUUUAGAUGAAUAUACUGGUUACUUGUGGCUUUAUCCACUAUUCAAUAAAUCAGAAGUUUUUUCUAAGUUUCUUCAUUUCAUUGCA